GGAGGGUACAGCUCAGUGGUAGAGCGUGUGCUUAGCAUGCACAAGGUCCUGGGUUCAAUCCCCAGUACCUCCA
rnacentral:tRNA from 1 species